rnacentral:rRNA from 1 species
UACGGAGGGAGCUAGCGUUGUUCGGAAUUACUGGGCGUAAAGCGCACGUAGGCGGCUUUGUAAGUUAGAGGUGAAAGCCCGGGGCUCAACUCCGGAACUGCCUUUAAGACUGCAUCGCUUGAAUCCAGGAGAGGUGAGCGGAAUUCCGAGUGUAGAGGUGAAAUUCGUAGAUAUUCGGAAGAACACCAGUGGCGAAGGCGGCUCACUGGACUGGUAUUGACGCUGAGGUGCGAAAGCGUGGGGAGCAAACAGG